CUUAGCUCCACUUUAUACCCUAUCUUCUGAUUCUUGAACCCUGAAUCAUGGAGUAAUUCUGCUUGAUUAGGGGGAGAGAUAAAAGGGCCUCCAGAGUCACUUCUACCUCAGGCUGUCAGAUCAUGCAGAAAUGAAUACAAAUCAUUACUGUAACUUUAAUCUUAUAUCUUAGGUGAAGUUAACACUGAAUUUAUAAUGAAGAAGCUAUUCUGAGUCGGCC